rnacentral:rRNA from 1 species
GAUGAACGCUGGCGGCGUGCUUAACACAUGCAAGUCGAACGGGAAAUACUUCAUUGAGACUUCGGUGGAUUUGAUCUAUUUCUAGUGGCGGACGGGUGAGUAACGCGUGGGUAACCUGCCUUAUACAGGGGGAUAACAGUCAGAAAUGGCUGCUAAUACCGCAUAAGCGCACAGAGCUGCAUGGCUCAGUGUGAAAAACUCCGGUGGUAUAAGAUGGACCCGCGUUGGAUUAGCUGGUUGGUGGGGUAACGGCCCACCAAGGCGACGAUCCAUAGCCGGCCUGAGAGGGUGAACGGCCACAUUGGGACUGAGACACGGCCCAGACUCCUACGGGAGGCAGCAGUGGGGAAUAUUGCACAAUGGGGGAAACCCUGAUGCAGCGACGCCGCGUGAAGGAAGAAGUAUCUCGGUAUGUAAACUUCUAUCAGCAGGGAAGAUAGUGACGG